rnacentral:rRNA from 1 species
GGAAUAUUGGUCAAUGGGCGCAAGCCUGACCCAGCAACGCCGCGUGAAGGAAGAAGGCUUUCGGGUUGUAAACUUCUUUUCUCAGGGACGAAGCAAGUGACGGUACCUUAGGAAUAAGCCUCGGCUAACUACGUGCCAGCAGCCGCGGUAAUACGUAGGAGGCAAGCGUUAUCCGGAAUGACUGGGCGUAAAGGGUGCGUAGGUGGUUUGACAAGUUAGUAGCGCAACUCCGGAGCUCAACUUCGGAACUACUACUAAAACUGUUGAACUUGAGUGCAGGAGGGGCAAUCGGAAUUCCUAGUGUAGCGGUGGAAUGCGUAGAUAUUAGGAGGAACACCAGUGGCGAAGGCGGAUUGCUAGACUGUAACUGACACUGAGGCACGAAAGCGUGGGGAGCAAACAG